rnacentral:lncRNA from 1 species
UUAGUCAACUAUCAGGCGCAUAUUCUUCCUCUCUUUCUUUUAUUUCUAUUUCUUUUUGUUAUUUUCUAAUUUUUAUGAUUGGAUGAUAGAGAUAUAAAUGGAUAAUGCUUGUGAGCCCUUGAUUAAUUUGAAUCAAUGGUUGUUAUUGCUAAAUACUAUUUGGAGAAACUCCCCUGAAACUAGUCAGGUGAAGCCACAGUUGUCC